rnacentral:rRNA from 1 species
CCUACGGGACGCAGCAGUAGGGAAUUUUCGUCAAUGGGCGCAAGCCUGAACGAGCAAUGCCGCGUGAACGAGGAAGGUCUUCGGAUCGUAAAGUUCUGUUGACGGGGAAAAAGAGCGGAGAGAGGAAAUGGUCUCCGAUUGAUAUUACCCUUCGAGGAAGUCACGGCUAACUCCGUGCCAGCAGCCGCGGUAAUACGGAGGAUGCGAGCGUUAUCCGGAUUUAUUGGGUUUAAAGGGUGCGUAGGCGGAUUUUUAAGUCAGCGGUAAAAUGUCCGGGCUCAACCCGGGCCGGCCGUUGAAACUGG